GAAUAUAAAAUAAGGUUUGUUUCACCACAUAUUUAGAGAACUUUUCCCAAAUACCUAAGACAAGCUUUAAAUGUAUCGCCCACUAGAAGUCAUCUAUGAAGACAUUCAUUGUGUCAUCCACAUAAUUUAAAAAUAUUUACAACAUGCACGUUGGGAAGGUGGUGGGAGGAUUGCAUAACCCAAAAGGCAUUCAUUUUAAAGAAAUAUUUUAUAUAGACAUACAAAAGUGGUNN
rnacentral:lncRNA from 1 species